AACGCAUAUUGCGCUCUCCAGGUAAUCCGGGGAGCAUGCCUGUUUGAGGAGUCUUGUCAACCUUCCUGGUAUCUUCUUUAUGUAUUCCGUACGCAAAGAUGUGCCAGACCUCUUCAUGGAAAUGGACAAGAUGUCAUUGAGCUUUUUUUCGGUUAGCUUCGGCGGGCCGGAUAGCUCUAAAUACAUACUCAUACUUAAUUCCUAUCACACACGCCACUACGGCGUGGGCAACUUGCGGAUUCCUUCGGGUUUCCGCAAGCGCCUUACCCUCACCACAUCAUGCUGGUUAAGAUAUAUUUUUCCUGGUAAAAAUGUUUUGACUAAGCGUGAUGGCGGCCGCAGGGUAUGGUGUAGUCCGCUGCUCCGUAGCACACGGCAAGUGAUAGUUUUUAUUCUCCUCAAAUCAAGCAAGAGUACCCGCUGAACUUAA
rnacentral:misc_RNA from 2 species